GACGAACGCUGGCGGCGUGCCUAAUACAUGCAAGUUGAGCGAUGAAGAUUGGUGCUUGCACCAAUUUGAAGAGCAGCGAACGGGUGAGUAACGCGUGGGGAAUCUGCCUUUGAGCGGGGGACAACAUUUGGAAACGAAUGCUAAUACCGCAUAACAACUUUAAACAUAAGUUUUAAGUUUGAAAGAUGCAAUUGCAUCACUCAAAGAUGAUCCCGCGUUGUAUUAGCUAGUUGGUGAGGUAAAGGCUCACCAAGGCGAUGAUACAUAGCCGACCUGAGAGGGUGAUCGGCCACAGUGGGACUGAGACACGGCCCAAACUCCUACGGGAGGCAGCAGUAGGGAAUCUUCGGCAAUGGACGAAAGGCUGACCGAGCAACGCCGCGGGAGUGAAGAAGGUUUUCGGAUCGUAAAACUCUGUUGGUAGAGAAGAACGUUGGUGAGAGUGGAAAGCUCAUCAAGUGACGGUAACUACCCAGAAAGGGACGGCUAACUACGUG
rnacentral:rRNA from 1 species